rnacentral:rRNA from 1 species
UUUUUUCUUUAUUAAUCCGCCAGCUAUACAUGCAGUCGAGCGGACAGAUGGGAGCUUGCUCCCUGAUGUUAGCGGCGGACGGGUGAGUAACACGUGGGUAACCUGCCUGUAAGACUGGGAUAACUCCGGGAAACCGGGGCUAAUACCGGAUGGUUGUUUGAACCGCAUGGUUCAAACAUAAAAGGUGGCUUCGGCUACCACUUACAGAUGGACCCGCGGCGCAUUAGCUAGUUGGUGAGGUAACGGCUCACCAAGGCAACGAUGCGUAGCCGACCUGAGAGGGUGAUCGGCCACACUGGGACUGAGACACGGCCCAGACUCCUACGGGAGGCAGCAGUAGGGAAUCUUCCGCAAUGGACGAAAGUCUGACGGAGCAACGCCGCGUGAGUGAUGAAGGUUUUCGGAUCGUAAAGCUCUGUUGUUAGGGAAGAACAAGUACCGUUCGAAUAGGGCGGUACCUUGACGGUACCUAACCAGAAAGCCACGGCUAACUACGUGCCAGCAGCCGCGGUAAUACGUAGGUGGCAAGCGUUGUCCGGAAUUAUUGGGCGUAAAGGGCUCGCAGGCGGUUUCUUAAGUCUGAUGUGAAAGCCCCCGGCUCAACCGGGGAGGGUCAUUGGAAACUGGGGAACUUGAAUGCAGAAGAAGAGAGUGGAAUUCCCCGUGUAUCGGUGAAAU